AUGCGGCAGUGCCGGGCCGCGGGGCUGGCGGGGCUGACCGCGGUGCUCCUGGUGGCUGUGAGCAGAGCCCAGGUGCAACAGGAGCCGGCGGCAGAGACCAGAGAGGGCAUCAGCAUCAACAUCACCUGCUCACACCCCAGCAUACAGUCCAGCGAGAUCAUUUACUGGUACCGUCAGCUCCCGGGCCGAGGACCCGCAUUCCUCGUGAACGCUUUUAAAGGCUCCAAGGAGGUGCCGGAC